rnacentral:rRNA from 1 species
UACGGAGGGGGCUAGCGUUGUUCGGAAUUACUGGGCGUAAAGCGCGCGUAGGCGGACCUGCAAGUCGGGGGUGAAAGCCCGAGGCUCAACCUCGGAACUGCCUUCGAUACUGCGGGUCUCGAGUCCGGGAGAGGUGAGUGGAAGUCCUAGUGUAGAGGUGAAAUUCGUAGAUAUUAGGAAGAACACCAGUGGCGAAGGCGGCUCACUGGCCCGGUACUGACGCUGAGGCGCGAAAGCGUGGGGAGCAAACAGG